UCGGGUCUAGUGGCGCACGGGUGCGUAACGCGUGGGAAUCUGCCCUUGGGUUCGGAAUAACUCGCCGAAAGGCGUGCUAAUACCGGAUGAUGUCGUAAGACCAAAGAUUUAUCGCCCAGGGAUGAGCCCGCGUAAGAUUAGGUAGUUGGUGAGGUAAAGGCUCACCAAGCCGACGAUCUUUAGCUGGUCUGAGAGGAUGAUCAGCCACACUGGGACUGAGACACGGCCCAGACUCC
rnacentral:rRNA from 1 species